rnacentral:rRNA from 1 species
CCUGGCUCAGGACGAACGCUGGCGGCGUGCCUAAUACAUGCAAGUCAAUGAAAAAGCUCC